CAGGCUUUACCCCCAUUUUUAUCCACAGGUCUCCUAUGGUGAGGAGUCAAGGAUUAUUUGGUGGACUUCUCCUAGGAAGGGUGGAAUGUGGAAAUGGGGGUUUCUCGUGUGAAGAAAGUGCUAUUUGGAGAGCGUGAAAACACCAGGUGCACCCAGAAUGGCUGCCGUCCAAAAGACUGGCCCCCAAAACCGGAGCUCUUGUACUUGGCGGGCAGGAAUGCAAAUUGUACAAAUAAUGUACAACAAUUGUACAUUAUUUACUUCGGAAAAUAAUGUACAGUUUCUUAAAAGUUAAACAUAUACUUAUAUGACUCAGCAAUUAUAUGCCUAGGUGUUUACCCAAGAGUAAUGAAAGUAUUGGUCCACUCAAAGUUAUCUACAUGAAUGUUUUUCAGAAGCUUUAAUUGUAAUAGGCAAAAACUGGGGAGUGGAGGGAAAUGGGUCAAAAAACUGUGACACAU
rnacentral:lncRNA from 1 species